UGGUAUAGUUCUGUUCUAAUGCUCUUGGCUAAAAACUGAACAAUUAGCCAUCAGGUCCCAUAUGUCCAAGAAGCAACAUGCCCAAGGCAGGAUAAGGAAGGAAGGAAGGAAGCAGUAUCUCUAAGAACCACAGUUCACAGUGUC
rnacentral:lncRNA from 1 species